rnacentral:pre_miRNA from 10 species
GUCCACUGCGGGUCUUUUUGCGGUCUGGGCUUGCUGUUCCCACAGCCUUAGCCAGGAAGCCCUUACCCCAAAAAGCAUCCGCGUUGGAC